rnacentral:rRNA from 1 species
UGGGGAAUAUUGGACAAUGGGCGAAAGCCUGAUCCAGCCAUGCCGCGUGUGUGAAGAAGGUCUUCGGAUUGUAAAGCACUUUAAGUUGGGAGGAAGGGCAGUAAGCUAAUACCUUGCUGUUUUGACGUUACCGACAGAAUAAGCACCGGCUAACUCUGUGCCAGCAGCCGCGGUAAUACAGAGGGUGCAAGCGUUAAUCGGAAUUACUGGGCGUAAAGCGCGCGUAGGUGGCGUGGUAAGUCAUCUGUGAAAUCUCCGAGCUUAACUCGGAACGGUCAGAUGAUACUGCUGUGCUAGAGUACAGAAAGGGCAAUCGGAAUUCUUGGUGUAGCGGUGAAAUGCGUAGAUAUCAAGAGGAACACCUGAGGCGAAGGCGGGUUGCUAGGCUGAUACUGACGCUGAGGCGCGAAAGCUAGGGUAGCAAACGGGAUUAGAUACCCAAGUAGUCCCUGAGCGGGCUGGCAAGGCGCAU